rnacentral:rRNA from 1 species
GACGUAGGGGGCCAGCGUUGUUCGGAAUUACUGGGUGUAAAGGGUUCGUAGGCGGUGCGGCAAGUUGGGAGUGAAAUCUCUGGGCUUAACCCAGAGGCUGCUUCCAAAACUGCUGUGCUUGAGUGUGGGAGAGGCGCGUGGAAUUGCAGGUGUAGCGGUGAAAUGCGUAGAUAUCUGCAGGAACACUCGUGGCGAAAGCGGCGCGCUGGACCACUACUGACGCUGAGGAACGAAAGCUAGGGGAGCAAACAGG